ensembl:lncRNA
CUCCAUCACCACCCUGAACCUUUUCCAGGAUGGUGAACCCAAAGUGGGAGCAACAGGAGUGGGGGCUGGGCCUGGAGCAUGUACAGGGGAAGGUACUGUUGGGUGAUCAACUUCCUCAUAGAUGGGGGGUGCCUCCCAGGGGUGCUGGGAGUUUUCAUAUUCUAGAGAAGCCACAUCUGGAAUCUAGCAUAGACUCUCAUGGACCCAGGGCAGAAAAGUGAAGGAGAAAACAGUCAACUCGAAAGACAAGAAGGUUUUAAGUAGAGCACGUGCUCAGUCACUUCAGCUGUGUCCAACUCUUUGCUAUAGACUGUAGCCCACCAGGCUCCUCUGUCGGGAUUUUCCAGGCAAGAAUACUGGAGUGGGUUGCUGGUCCCUUCUCCAGAGGAUCUUCCCAACCCAGGGAACCUGCAUCUCCUGCAUUGCAGGCAGAGUCUUUACCACUGAGACAGCAGGGAAGCCCAUAAGUAGAGUAACCUGAGCCAAAGACAGAAGGAAGGCCUCCUGUAGGAGUGGGACUUUGAAGGGGGAUCUUAAUGGAAAGAACCCAAGAGGGACCCUGAGAAAUAACGUAGCCAAACCCAGACCUCGUACCUCCUGGGUGUUUGUGAAGUGAAGCAGCCACAAGUUUAUUCUCCCACGUUACUCGGCACUGGCCAUCUGCAGAUGAAACAGUGAAUCAUGGAGACAAGUAGAACCCAUGGAGGCCACCCUGUCCACCACCGCAUUAUAUCUGAGUGUGGACCCUGGAACUCCACUGUGAGCCCAUCUCUAAUAUGGCCAUAGACGUCUAAGAGGGAGCAGUAAAAAAGGAAAGAAAAUGGACUUGGGAGCAGGAAUUUCACAUCCCAGUCCUGGUUCUCCUGCUGGAUAAAUCACCUCACCAUUCUGGUCCUCAAACUCUUCAUGGAUCAAGAGAUGGUGGUUGACCAGAUGACUACAGAGAUCUUUCCGGCUCUAAGAUGUCAUGGAAUGCUUUGUGAAUUAGAAUUGGAGUAUGAGAAAGGAUGGCUCUCUGAAGCCAUUUCUCCGACCACCUGUGUACCAGCUGUACUGCUCCUGCUGAAUGUCAGAACAUCCCAGCCCAGUGAAGAGGGGAGGUGGGGCAGAGCUAUGUGGCCUGAAGGACUUGGCAGAACAAAGCCCCACUAAGCAGGGCCCUGUGUUUUCACUGACAUGAAUGCCCAGGGAAAUGCUCUGGGAAGCCCAGCCCAGGCCUGUGUCAGAAAGACUUUCCUGGAGUUUGAACACAUACCACAGGCUCAAAAGACCACCAGUCUCAUCCAACCAGUAGAACAGUGUUUUCCAAGCCUUGGAGAGAGCUCAGACCUGCCGCUCAGGAUGGGCUGGUAACCUGAAGUGGAGCCAGGCCAACAACUGGGUGUCCUCAGAGACGUCAAGAGGGUGUGAGAGAGCCACAGGGCCGGCAGGGGUGGCACUCAUAUGAGGACCGGCAUCCAGGCGUGGGGAGGAGUAAGAUGAAUGUGGCCAGGACGUUUACUGCUCACUGCCUUUGACAAAUGACGAUGGUCAGCAGAAUGAAUUCACCAGGAAAGAAAACACAACUCACAGGGCAGCCACGGAGCCCUUUAAGAAGUGCCUUUUUUCUCCCCUAGUGGUGUGGCCAUCACCAAGGCAGAGAGAAACAGGCCCCCAGGAGUGGCCUGGGUCAACCAGACUUCCCCAUGACUUGCUUCCUGUGAUAGGCAGAAGGGUGGCCCCCAAAGAUAUCUAGGUCCUAAUCCCUGGAACCUGAAAACAUUCCUUUACCUGGUGAAAAGGAAUCUGCUGAUGCAAUUGAACUGAGGCUCUUGAGAUGGAGAGAUUACCCUGAAUUAUCUGGGUGGGCCCUGAAUGUCAUCACAAG